UAAAAUGUACACGCAGACGUAGGAAAAUCCUCGCACUCCCUCCCAAGUCAGGACAAAUGAAAUUAAUCUUCUGAUGAUUUUUCUAGGGUUCCAAGGAUUGAGAAAAGUAUGGGUUCUUGGAGGAUUGGAGUGAGUGAAUCUUCCCCUCCGCCUCUUCGCCUCAUCUGGCAAAGCAUCGUCCCAUUUAGCUCUGUUGCUCACAAUUACCAGAAAAAUAUUCGAAACCUAAAACCCUCAAAUCAGCAAAGCGAAUUCCCACACUUAAACUUCGAAACCAACAAAUCGAUUUCAAGUGUUAAGCGGCUAGGUUCUAGGUCUUCUAAUUCCGGCGAGCUGUUUUCUUACGAACGCCAGCAAACCGUACCGUUCGUCGUCUUGCCUUCGUCUUCCAGUUUCGAAAUUCCAAUUUAAGCGGUCGAUGAAAGCAGAGUGGGUAAGAUCAGUUGCUCUGCAGCCUCAACCUCCAAACGCUACCCCAUCACUUUGCUUCCCGGCGAUGGCAUUGGCCUCAACCUCGCCCCCUCCAUCGAUGGUUUCUUUUAAUUCUGCUUCCGUUUUCUUCCUUUUCUCAAUUUUAUUUCAGGUGCCUGAGAAACGGUGGGAAAAUUAAAAGGAAAAGUCUUUUAAUUUUCCCAUAUUUUCUUUGGGUUAAUGUUUAACAAUUUGAGCUGCUCUGUGUGUUGUAUAAUCGAGAAAUUUUGUUGGGAAAUUAGUAAUUAUAUAACAUUUGGAUAUUUGUAUAACUGAAUAUGUUUACAUAAACUAGAGAUUGAUUUUAAGUAUGAAGAAGUACCUAUUGGCUUAGAUUUGACUGGAGUGCCAUUACCUGAUGAGACCCUUUUGUCAGCUAAGCAAUUAUUCUUCUCGAAGCAGUUGGGGGUAGGUCAUGAUUGUACUUCUCAAUCCGUUUUAUUUCUUAAUGAUUAUCCUUUUCAAGUGAUAUAAUUUAGUUAAUUCGAUUAUGGUUUUUGUUUCAAAUUUUGGCUUCUAAUGAAUGAAGCGAAUUGUUCUCAAAAUUUCAAGUUUUUCAUGAAUAUGUUGCAUUUCUUUAAAGCAUGAUUUGAUUUUUUAUUGUAAUUUCAACAUUUUGGAUCUCUGUAUGCCUUUUUAUUAUAUUAUUGCUCAUUGGAUCGGAUUGAUUUGGUGUGCAGAAUUUGAAAUUUGUUGAGGGGGCCUAAUGUUACCAUUGAUGAAGUCUGUGCUUUUGGAAGGUAAGUAGUGAUAUUUAAUUAUUGUUUAUUGCAUUUUGUCAAAUUUUAUGGGAAAUUUUCUGAAUUAGGUGUGUGCUUGAUCCGAAAAAGUCUCAGAACAUUGCAAUUCUUGCUUAUUGCAUUGUGUCCAAUUUGGAAGGUAAGUUGUGAUUCUGUAAGGAUGUAUUGAAGGACCAUUUGUUUAGUUCGUUAGUGGAAUUUCGUUAUUUAUGUAUUUCCGAUAUACUUGGUACAUUGAUAAUUAAGGUUGAAAUGUCAUAAGGUUCCCUUGGUUUAUGAUUGACAAAUAAGAAGGAAUUGAAGAAGUGGGUUUAGCCUUUUAGGUUAGUGGGGAGAACGGUUACAGAAUUGUACUUGUUGUUAUUGCAGGGAAAUGAAACAUAAUUGCCGCUUCUGCAAAAUUAUUGAGUGGUAGCAAUUUGCAGAUUCCCUAUUCAAUUGAAGUAAUUUGUUUCCAAUUUUAUUUGUCUUCCUGUAAUUUUCUGAAAAAAGGGAUUGUUUUGUGGCAAAAAGCAAGGCUAUGCUCCCAUUGCUUCAAGACUUGAAGUUUUCUAUAUUCCCUGGCUUUAUCUUCGAAUUCAGGGCAUGUUGCCGAUCAAGGGAGUGUUCAAGAAUGCAAUGGCGACAUCAGUUGAAGGAAAUAGCAAGCUUUCUGGGGGCAUAUCUGAGUUUCAUUUGCCAAAGUGCAACUCUCCAGCGUCCAAAAAAAGGAAGGAUUGAGCUUAACCAUGAAAUUGGUUCUCUCUCUCAUUUGUGGGAUUUUUGGAGUUAUUUUUGCACUAACCUUUUUGUACCCUUAUUGCUCACGGAGAGAUAAAAAAGAUCUCACUUAAAGUGAUUUAGACAAACUUCCCCAGAUGUAUCAUACCAAAGUCUUCUAAGAGGAACAAAUGGAUUCUCCUCAACCAACUUGGUCGGUAUGGGCAGUUUUGGGUCCGUUUAUAAGGGAAUACUUGAGCAAAGUUAAACUACAAUUGCGAUCAAGGUACUCAACCAUGUUCAUUUAGCAGGGCUUACAAAAGUUUUAUUUAUGAGUGCGAGGCUUUCCGAAAUAUUGGACACCGUAAUCUUGUCAAGAUAGUCUCAGCAUGUUCUGGUUUUGAUUAUCGCGGUCACGACUUCAAGGCCUUAAUUUAUGAGUUCAUGGCUAACGGGAGCUUGGAGGAAUGGCUAUAUCCAAUUCAUACAAUUGGUGAGACAAAUGACAGGCCAAGGACCUUAACAAUUUCUCAAAGUUUGAAUAUUGUUUUUGAUGUUGCUAUGGCAUUGGAUUAUCUCCAUCGUCAUUGUGAGACGCCAAUAGUUCAUUGCAACCUCAAACCUAGCAAUAUUCUUCUCAAUGAGGAUAUGAUUGCACAUGUAGGUGACUUUGGGUUGGUGAGGUUCCUACCAAAAGUUGUUGAAACACUACGAAAAAUAUGGGAUUUGGUGUACACAAAUGAAGAGUUUGUGUCUUUGAGAACACUAAUAUGGUGGAACAAUGUCCAUUCAAUAAAGGAUACAAUGUAUUGUACUCAGUGUAAAAAGAAAUGGACACAAACACAUUAUUGGGCACGAAGCCAUGCCAAGUAGUGCAUAUAUAUAUAUAUAUAAUUAUUGGU